UGGGGAAUUUUGGACAAUGGGCGAAAGCCUGAUCCAGCAAUGCCGCGUGUGUGAAGAAGGCCUUCGGGUUGUAAAGCACUUUUGUCCGGAAAGAAAUCCUUGGCUCUAAUACAGUCGGGGGAUGACGGUACCGGAAGAAUAAGCACCGGCUAACUACGUGCCAGCAGCCGCGGUAAUACGUAGGGUGCAAGCGUUAAUCGGAAUUACUGGGCGUAAAGCGUGCGCAGGCGGUUUGCUAAGACCGAUGUGAAAUCCCCAGGCUCAACCUGGGAACUGCAUUGGUGACUGGCAGGCUAGAGUAUGGCAGAGGGGGGUAGAAUUCCACGUGUAGCAGUGAAAUGCGUAGAGAUGUGGAGGAAUACCGAUGGCGAAGGCAGCCCCCUGGGCCAAUACUGACGCUCAUGCACGAAAAGCGUGGGGAGCAAACAGGAUUAGAUACCCUGGUAGUCCACGCCCUAAAACGAUGUCAACUAGUUGUUGGGGAUUCAUUUCCUUAGUAACGUAGCUAACGCGUGAAGUUGACCGCCUGGGGGAGUACGGUCGCAAGAUUAAAACUCAAAGGAAUUGACGGGGUCAUAGCUGUUUCCU
rnacentral:rRNA from 1 species